rnacentral:rRNA from 1 species
GAUGAACGCUGGCGGCGUGCCUAAUACAUGCAAGUCGAGCGAACAGACGAGGAGCUUGCUCCUCUGACGUUAGCGGCGGACGGGUGAGUAACACGUUGAUAACCUACCUAUAAGACUGGGAUAACUUCGGGAAACCGGAGCUAAUACCGGAUAAUAUAUUGAACCGCAUGGUUCAAUAGUGAAAGACGGUUUUGCUGUCACUUAUAGAUGGAUCCGCGCCGCAUUAGCUAGUUGGUAAGGUAACGGCUUACCAAGGCAACGAUGCGUAGCCGACCUGAGAGGGUGAUCGGCCACACUGGAACUGAGACAAGGUCCAGACUCCUACGGGAGGCAGCAGUAGGGAAUCUUCCGCAAUGGGCGAAAGCCUGACGGAGCAACGCCGCGUGAGUGAUGAAGGUAUUCGGAUCGUAAAACUCUGUUAUUAGGGAAGAACAAAUGUGUAAGUAAAUAUGCACGUCUUGACGGUACCUAAUCAGAAAGCCACGGCUAACUACGUG